AAUCCUGCUGCCUCAGCCUCCCAAAGUGCUGGAUUACAAGCAUGAGCCACUGUGCCCAGCCUUAAGUUUUUUUCAUACAGGAGGAAAGAAUUUGGAAAAUAAACACAAUCUGGGAAACAUUUUAUAAUACAGAGGGCCACACCAGAUUGAAUAUUGCCCCCAGGAAUGAAAUGAAAACAGGAAUGGAUUCUCCAGUAAGAGUUGUUUGAAUCGGUGGAUGCAGAACCCAUGAAUAUGGAGAGUCAAUUGCAUUUUAUUAUGCCCAAAGGUAAAUGCAUAAUUUUUCCACACAGCUAAUCUUCUAGCAACCCCAUUGCUGUCCAUGGCAAACAGGCUUAGUUAAUCUCGCCCUUUCCCGUUUCAGGUUCAUUAUACACCAUGGAAUACUAUGCAGCCAUAAAAAAUGAUGAGUUCAUGUCCUUACUAGGGACAUGGAUGAAGCUGGA
rnacentral:lncRNA from 1 species